UACGGGGGGGGCAAGUGUUGUUCGGAAUUACUGGGCGUAAAGGGUUUGUAGGUGGCUUGCUAAGUCAGACGUGAAAUCCCUCAGCUUAACUGGGGAACUGCGUCUGAUACUGGCGAGCUUGAGUGCAGGAGAGGAACGCGGAAUUCCAGGUGUAGCGGUGAAAUGCGUAGAUAUCUGGAGGAACACCGGUGGCGAAGGCGGCGUUCUGGACUGUAACUGACACUGAGAAACGAAAGCCAGGGUAGCAAACGGG
rnacentral:rRNA from 1 species